AUUGAACGCUGGCGGCAGGCCUAACACAUGCAAGUCGAGCGGAUGACGGGAGCUUGCUCCUUGAUUCAGCGGCGGACGGGUGAGUAAUGCCUAGGAAUCUGCCUGGUAGUGGGGGACAACGUUUCGAAAGGAACGCUAAUACCGCAUACGUCUUACGGGAGAAAGCAGGGGACCUUCGGGCCUGGCGCUCUCAGAUGAGCCUAGGUCGGAUUAGCUAGUUGGGGGGGUAAUGGCUCACCAAGGCGACGAUCCGUAACUGGUCUGAGAGGAUGAUCAGUCACACUGGAACUGAGACACGGUCCAGACUCCUACGGGAGGCAGCAGUGGGGAAUAUUGGACAAUGGGCGAAAGCCUGAUCCAGCCAUGCCGCGUGUGUGAAGAAGGUCUUCGGAUUGUAAAGCACUUUAAGUUGGGAGGAAGGGCAGUAAGUUAAUACCUUGCUGUUUUGACGUUACCGACAGAAUAAGCACCGGCUAACUCUGUGCCAGCCGCCGCGGUAAAAC
rnacentral:rRNA from 1 species